rnacentral:rRNA from 1 species
AUUGAACGCUGGCGGCAGGCUUAACACAUGCAAGUCGAGCGAGCGGCGGACGGGUGAGCAAUGACUGGGAAACUGCCUGAUGGAGGGGGAUAACUACUGGAAACGGUAGCUAAUAACGCAUACCAUCAGAUGUGCCCAGCUGGGAUUAGCUAGUAGGUGGGGCAAAGGCUCCCCUAGGCGACGAUCCCUAGCGGGUCUGAGAGGAUGACCAGCCACACUGGAACUAAGACACGGUCCAGACUCCUACGGGAGGCAGCAGUGGGGAAUAUUGGACAAUGGGCGCAAGCCUGAUGCAGCCAUGCCGCGUGUAUGAAGAAGGCCUUCGGAUUUUAAAGUACUUUCAGCGGGGAGGCGUUACCCGCAGAAGAAGCACCGGCUAACUCCGUGCCAGCAGCCGCGGUAAUUC